UUGCAAGGAUGAAGAACACUGAACUCUCUCUUUCUGAAGUGCUCAGUGGAGACAACCCUUUACCAGAUACUGAGUGAC